GAGGUCGUGGGUUCGAUUCCCUCCAGCUCCACC
rnacentral:misc_RNA from 1 species